UACGGGGGGGGGCAAGCGUUGUUCGGAAUUACUGGGCGUAAAGGGCUCGUAGGCGGCCAACUAAGUCAGACGUGAAAUCCCUCGGCUUAACCGGGGAACUGCGUCUGAUACUGGAUGGCUUGAAUCCGGGAGAGGGAUGCGGAAUUCCAGGUGUAGCGGUGAAAUGCGUAGAUAUCUGGAGGAACACCGGUGGCGAAGGUGGCAUCCUGGACCGGCAUUGACGCUGAGGAGCGAAAGCCAGGGGAGCAAACGGG
rnacentral:rRNA from 1 species